rnacentral:lncRNA from 1 species
CAUAAUUCCCCAAUCAAAACAUGUCUGCCACAUGGGCCAAAGCGAGACCUUGCACAAGGGAGUUACAUCAAGAGUGGCACCAUGAGGGCUGCUUGGGUGAUACUGUGGCCCUAGCCUAGGAUGACCCAUGAUCUUUGGCUAUGGUGUGAGGAUUGUCAGAAAGGACAUGAAGGAGAUUGCGAGGAACAUGGUCCAUUGACGAAAGUGGCAGACACAGAGGUAUCUACAAGAGCGCGACGGUCUAUACCACAUAUCUUGAAGCUGAAGGAAGACAUCGCCCACACGGGUAAGUCAAACUUCGGGUUUCCAGUUACCACAGGUGUGCCUUGAUAGUUCCCAGGGUGUGGUUUUCUAUUUGCAAUUGUGAUGGAGGAGAGGUUGUGGGGGGGGGUUAAUCUCUCAGUCAUGGUUGUUUUCAGUUGUAGGUUGCGUUAGAUUGAUUUACUCUUGUUUUUUGUUGUUAUUUUUAUUAUUUUCAUUGUUUAUUUUAUUUUAUUUUUUUCAUUGAUAUUAAUUUCUUUGAAGUAUUGUAUUCCUAGCAUCAUUGUCAUCAUUAUCAGUAUCGUAUCUUUAUCUUUAUAUCAUUGUUAUUUUUGUGAAUGCAGCUUCUUUAGUCAUCAUCAAUAGUAUUACUGUUCAUAGCAAUAGCUAUAGCAGUAAUUCCAGAAGAUGUGUUCUCUUCAGUCGUAGUAUUAGUUUUGAAAUAUAUAUUUUGGAUAUCAUUGUGAUUGUUAUAUUAUCAUCAUAAUAAUAAUCAUCAUUAAAAUCAUCAUCAUCUUAAUUAUAAUAGUUAAAAUCAUCAUCAUCAUUAUCUUCAUCAUUUUCAUUAUAAUUAUCACUACAAUCAUUAUCAUGAUUAUUUGCAGCCAAAAGUGGAAAGCUGCUAAUGAUACUGUUUUUUUCUGUUUCAUUAUAUAAAUUGCUUUAUUAAUUUUAUCAAAGGUAUAAAUGGGUAUGCCCUUCCUGCCAUCCAUAUUUAACAGAAUAUCAUAUCCAUUCAGUUGAAAUUAAAUGUCUCGGUGGACAUUUUGUUAACCGUUCUCAUUUUUUUUUUUUUUUU